rnacentral:tRNA from 1 species
UCCUUGCCACUCAAAUGAUGAAGAACCUGCCUGCAAUGCAGGAGACCCGGGUUCGAUCCCUGGGUCAGGAA